GACGAACGCUGGCGGCGUGCUUAACACAUGCAAGUCGAACGAUGAAGCCUUAGCUUGCUUUGGUGGAUUAGUGGCGAACGGGUGAGUAACACGUGAGCAACGUGCCCAGGACUCUGGAAUAACCGCGGGAAACCGUGGCUAAUACCGGAUAGGUGCCGAGGCCGCAUGGUCCUCGGUUGGAAAGUUUUUGCGGUUCUGGAUCGGCUCACGGCCUAUCAGCUUGUUGGUGGGGUAAUGGCCUACCAAGGCGACGACGGGUAGCCGGCCUGAGAGGGUGACCGGCCACACUGGGACUGAGACACGGCCCAGACUCCUACGGGAGGCAGCAGUGGGGAAUAUUGCACAAUGGGCGCAAGCCUGAUGCAGCAACGCCGCGUGGGGGAUGACGGCCUUCGGGUUGUAAACCUCUUUUAGUAGGGAAGAAGCGCAAGUGACGGUACCUGCAGAAAAAGCACCGGCUAACUACGUG
rnacentral:rRNA from 1 species